rnacentral:rRNA from 1 species
GGUGAACGCUGGCGGCGUGCUUAAGACAUGCAAGUCGAACGGGCUCUUCGGAGCCAGUGGCGCACGGGUGAGUAACGCGUAACGGACCUACCCCAAAGUCGCGGAUAACGAUUCGAAAGAAUCGCUAAUACGUGAUGUGCUGUCAGAUCCUGUUCUGCCAGUAAAGAUUUAUUGCUUUGGGAUGGGGUUGCGUUCCAUCAGCUAGUUGGUGGGGUAAAGGCCCACUAAGGCGACGACGGAUCGCCGGCCUGAGAGGGUGGCCGGCCACAGGGGCACUGAGACACGGGUCCCACUCCUACGGGAGGCAGCAGUUAGGAAUCUUCCACAUUGGGCGAAAGCCUGAUGGAGCGACGCCGCGUGAGGGAUGAAGGUCUUCGGAUCGUAAACCUCUGAAUCAGGGACGAAAGACGCGAAAGCGGGAUGACGGUACCUGAGUAAUAGCACCGGCUAACUCCGUG